UACAGAGGUCCCGAGCGUUGUUCGGAUUCACUGGGCGUAAAGGGUGCGUAGGUGGCAGGGUAAGUCGGAUGUGAAAGCUCGGAGCUCAACUCCGAAAUGGCAUUGGAAACUACCCAGCUCGAGGGUUGGAGGGGGGACUGGAAUGCUUGGUGUAGCAGUGAAAUGCGUAGAUAUCAGGAGGAACACCGGUGGCGAAGGCGGGUCUCUGGGCCGAUACUGACGCUGAGGAGCGAAAGCGUGGGGAGCGAACAGG
rnacentral:rRNA from 1 species